UCCCAAGGUACCCUUCUUGCGGAGACCACGUAAAUGACCAUUUUGCCACUGUACUUAUGCUCUCACUACCGUUCGAUCUCUAUCGGAUGGACCUUAUUGCGAUGUGCGAAAGGGUAUUUACGAUAACCUCGAUCUUGAACGCAGGAAUAUUACCGUCUCCAGAAGGAGCUCUAUGGAAAGGCGAAACAGAUCGCAUCGACUGCGGGAAGCUCUUCCUCGGACACCUUUGGAACCAAAAGAUCCGCCGCCUUUGAUGUAUUAGGAUCCGUUGAUCGAACUCAAAUCUCAUUAAGAAACACUGGGUAGUCUAUUUUUUGCUGUAUUGAUUGGAUAAAGCUCUUCUUUUGUGCGUGUUCUGAGAGUGAAGAGACUGAUGUUGGUUUAGGGCGAGAUUUUUGCCCUACUGAUACUGUUUUGGCCAAUGAGUUCCUCAUUUUUUUCGUUUUAUGUAUUAGUUAAAGCAUUAUGGUAUAUACUUCUAAGCGUAUGUACUUUUCCUAUAUAUGUGGAAUAUAGGAAAGUUUCUUGUGGUGAAGAGGAAUGUGGACAAGUUCAGUUUCUUGGCUUUA